CAGCCGCCGCGGUAAUACGUAGGGUGCGAGCGUUAAUCGGAAUUACUGGGCGUAAAGGGAGCGUAGGCGGCGUGGUAAGUCAGAUGUGAAAUCCCGGGGCUCAACCCCGGAACUGCAUCCGAUACUGCCAUGCUAGAGGAUUGGAGAGGUAGCUGGAAUUCUUGGUGUAGCAGUGAAAUGCGUGGAGAUCAAGAGGAACACUCGUGGCGAAAGCGAGCUACUGGACAAUAACUGACGCUGAGGCUCGAAGGCCAGGGUAGCGAAAGGGAUUAGAUACCCGCGUAGUCCCUGUCUCUUAUAC
rnacentral:rRNA from 1 species